GGUACUCGAGCGGCGAACGGGUGAGUAACACGUGAGCAACCUGCCCCAGGCUUUGGGAUAACCCCGGGAAACCGGGGCUAAUACCGAAUAUGACCUCUGACCGCAUGGUUGGUGGUGGAAAGUUUUUCGGCUUGGGAUGGGCUCGCGGCCUAUCAGCUUGUUGGUGGGGUGAUGGCCUACCAAGGCGACGACGGGUAGCCGGCCUGAGAGGGCGACCGGCCACACUGGGACUGAGACACGGCCCAGACUCCUACGGGAGGCAGCAGUGGGGAAUAUUGCACAAUGGGCGGAAGCCUGAUGCAGCGACGCCGCGUGAGGGAUGACGGCCUUCGGGUUGUAAACCUCUUUCAGCAGGGACGAAGCGUAAGUGACGGUACCUGCAGAAGAAGCGCCGGCCAACUACGUGCCAGCAGCCGCGGUAAGACGUAGGGCGCGAGCGUUGUCCGGAUUUAUUGGGCGUAAAGAGCUCGUAGGCGGCUUGUCGCGUCGACCGUGAAAACUUGGGGCUCAACCCCAAGCCUGCGGUCGAUACGGGCAGGCUAGAGUUCGGUAGGGGAGACUGG
rnacentral:rRNA from 1 species